CAGGGAAGAUGCUCUGGCCAGCGCACUCGGGAGGCGGGACCUUGGCAGCCGGUUCCUGCUGCUUCUCCAUAACGCAGCAGCUCGAAGCUCUGUGGUCCAGGGACCCAGGCUCUGACUAACCGGCCGCUGCUGCGCUGCAGGACUCAAGUGCACCUCCUCCCGCCGCCGCGCACCUAUCACAGUCCCUAAGCGCAUUGCCGCGCGCUCCUCCCACUUGCAAAUGCCAGUCCAGCUUGCGGCUGCCCUGGCCUGGACAGAGCCUUUGGGCCGCCUGCGUCCCCUGCCCUGUCCCUUCUCAGCUCCAGCAGGACGACGGCUCAUCUGUUGCUGUCCUCUGACCCAUCUCCCAGAUGACUCACUGACUGAAGCUUUUCCUUCCUCCUGCAGUAUGCUAAGGCAAAGCCACGCUUGGCAGGGAACUCUUGUCAAAAGACUUAACAAGCUUCACACUGAAUUACCAAAGGCAACUUCUUUGUUUAUGAUCUUUCCUUCAAGGAAAUCAACACGCA
rnacentral:lncRNA from 1 species